rnacentral:rRNA from 1 species
GACGUAGGGCGCGAGCGUUGUCCGGAUUUAUUGGGCGUAAAGAGCUCGUAGGCGGUUCGGUAAGUCGGGUGUGAAACCUCCAGGCUCAACCUGGAGACGCCACCCGAUACUGCUGUGACUAGAGUCCGGUAGGGGAGCGUGGAAUUCCUGGUGUAGCGGUGAAAUGCGCAGAUAUCAGGAGGAACACCAGCGGCGAAGGCGGCGCUCUGGGCCGGAACUGACGCUGGGGAGCGAAAGCGUGGGGAGCAAACAGG